rnacentral:rRNA from 1 species
UACGUAGGGUCCGAGCGUUGUCCGGAAUUACUGGGCGUAAAGAGCUCGUAGGUGGUUUGUCGCGUUGUUCGUGAAAACUCACAGCUUAACUGUGGGCGUGCGGGCGAUACGGGCAGACUUGAGUACUGCAGGGGAGACUGGAAUUCCUGGUGUAGCGGUGGAAUGCGCAGAUAUCAGGAGGAACACCCGGUGGCGAAGGCGGGUCUCUGGGCAGUAACUGACGCUGAGGAGCGAAAGCGUGGGGAGCAAACAGG